CCGAUGGAAAAUUCUUGGAGUCGGUAAAGUGGUUCCAAGUGGCGAUACUCUUUUAUGGUGGAGUAUGAUAAUUCUUGACGAUAAGAAUUAUGAUUGUCGGUAGCAGACAAUGUUGUGUUUUUUUUAUUUUAUUUUCAAGGUGGAGAUUGUUAGCCGCCGUUGUUGAAAACAAAAGAAAAAAAAAUAUAAAAAAAAAUUAGUUUUUGCUUAAUCCCACAUCGGGGAGAUAAGCAAAGUGAAGAUAGUGAUUUGGCUAUAAAAUGGAAGCAAUGUUUAGGUUUCCAUACACACCAAAACACACCAAAAAUACUUGAAUGUGUUUUAUAUUAGGGAUUUAGAGCAAGUCUCUU
rnacentral:lncRNA from 1 species